rnacentral:lncRNA from 1 species
GCCGCCGUUUGCAGCGGCGAUUCGCCUCGGGUUGGCCGUUUUCGGCCAUUUUGGCUGAAUUCAGUUACAUUUGCAUCGGUCCCUGCGAUAAAACAACCCUAGGGCCCUCGGAGGGCCAAAAAAUCACGAAAAAUUGAAACUUACCUGCGGCGGUGCUCUCAGGUGCGGCGGCUCCUCCGGCGUGAGUCGUGUUUUGUUGUUUGAUGCCAAUCAACCUGUAGAGAAAAGAACGGUGAUCACAGUGGUAUAAAAUUUACAUAGAACAGAGACCAGGAAGGGCCUCAUCGGAGGCAAAAACAGAGGGAGGUCGCGGCGGCGCCGCUGGACUUCAGCUUGGUUUUUCGGCCGUUUGGCCAGUAGUUUGGCUCCGGUUUGGCCAUAGGCGGACUUAGCAUCGAAAAACAAGCCAAGAGAAGAAAAUUUACCUUGAUCGGCGGUGGGAAACUUCCCCGGUGCGGCGGCGGGUGGCGGCGGCCGGCUCCUCCUGCGUCUGGUUCUUUUUCUCCGGCGAGGCACUGGCAGCUAGGGUUUUGUGGUCAGGUGUGGGUGGGGUUAUUUAUAUCCUUUGCCUUUUAAUCUCAACCGUCCAUCAAGAUUAAAUCUGGACCGUUCGAUCGCGAUUUAAUUGGAAUUAAAUCUGGACCGUCCAUCGUGAUGCAAUCUGGGCCGUCCAUGCCUUAUUGAAUCUGAGCUGUCUGUACGCGUGAAUCUGGGCCGUCCGUGCGCACGUUUGAUCUGGGUCGUCCGUGUGUGCGGGAACGGAUCUGGGCCGUCCGAUCACGCACACGCAAAUCGCCCAUGUGGCCCGUCCCGUGUCAGCGU